rnacentral:rRNA from 1 species
UGGGGAAUAUUGGCCAAUGGGCGCAAGCCUGAUCCAGCCAUGCCGCGUGUGUGAAGAAGGCCUUUUGGUUGUAAAGCACUUUAAGCGAGGAGGAGGCUACUUGGAUUAAUACUCUAGGAUAGUGGACGUUACUCGCAGAAUAAGCACCGGCUAACUCUGUGCCAGCAGCCGCGGUAAUACAGAGGGUGCGAGCGUUAAUCGGAUUUACUGGGCGUAAAGCGUGCGUAGGCGGCUUCUUAAGUCGGAUGUGAAAUCCCUGAGCUUAACUUAGGAAUUGCAUUCGAUACUGGGAAGCUAGAGUAUGGGAGAGGAUGGUAGAAUUCCAGGUGUAGCGGUGAAAUGCGUAGAGAUCUGGAGGAAUACCGAUGGCGAAGGCAGCCAUCUGGCCUAAUACUGACGCUGAGGUACGAAAGCAUGGGGAGCAAACAGG